CAGUGGAGCAGCAGCCCGGGCUGCCCGUGGUCCAGGGAAGGCAGGGCCAGGAAUAAAGUCAGACAUCCUCUAAACAAAGCUCUCAAUCGCCUGAUUUAAAGCCGUGCGACCUUUCAUGCAGCCCUGGGGUGCCCAAGCUGUGACCAGACCCUGCUGGGGUGCCCCGGUUGCACUGCCACCACGCAGGGAUGCUUCCUACUCAUUUAGGCACCUGUCUCCAGAUUGCUGUCUGUUGUGAUCUGUUCCCCCCGAUUGCUCCCCCGCCGUGCUGCUGAUCACCUCUCCUCCCACUGGCG